GCAGGGAAGAAUUCAAGAUGGCGUGUUUAGGAGCUCUAGCUCCUUGACAAAUUAGUAAAAUGUUAGUCUUAGGAGAAGAACGAAAAGGCUCUCCUAGACUAAGAAACAGCAUACACAGUGAGAAACCUCAGAAGAAAUAAAAUUCAAGGAAGAUAGCAACAACGAAAACAUCAGAAGGAACACUAAAGUAGUCAAAUCAGCUUAGCAGAAACAAACUAAGUACGUUAACCAAUGGAAAACUGACGGAGAGAAAUAAACUGUUUUUGCACGCUAAAUGGAAAUGACUUUUGAAUUAUCUGCUUUGGAAGAUUAUCCAUGACACUGUUCUGCCCUGCUCUGCUCUAACAACAUUUGCUUGGGCCCACCAUCUGGUUUUGCCAUGAUUACCUGAUCCACUCUAAGUACAGUGACUGCAGCAUUAGCAGCGAGUUUGAUAGACCAGUGUUUUCCCAGUGCUAUUAUGCCUGCCUGAAAUGCCUUCUUUCCUCUUAACUCUGCGAAGCCUGUUCAUUUUUAAGACCCAGAUCAAGACUGCCUCCUCCAUAAAGAAACCGCUGACUAUUCAGGCUGACAAUUUUCUCUCCAUCCUCUGAAUUUCUCUAGCACUUAUCACCUGUAGAACUCAUUAAAAAUCAUGUACUGGUAAAGUUGAAAGCAGCUGGAGACCAUUUAAUCUAAAACCCUCAUUCUCUUGCCAUUGACAUUGUUGGCAUUAUUACAAAAACCCCUGCUAUUUAUCAUUUUUAUUGAUAUUAAACUUUCUACACUCCUAAUUUCUGUCUCUUCAAAUGUGUUUUCUCAAGGAUAGGAGAUAAAGCCUACACAUCCACAGCAGAUUAUCAUCACUUCCAUUUAUUGGGAUUUGUGACCUUUAAGUCAUUGUGCUAGGUCCUUCAUCUAUAUUACAACAACCUCUUGAGGAAAGUAUUAUUACACCCAUGUUAUAGAUGAGGGGCAUGGAAAGGAUGAAUAACUUGCCUGAGAUCACAGAGCUAGUAAGUGGCAGAGGUGAAUUUCCAACCCAGGUCUGACUAACUCCAAAGCCUGUGCUUAAGAAAUGUUUGAUUGAUUAUUUAAUGGAGAAAAAUAAGAUUGCUAGUAGAACAACAGGAAGCUAGUCAGUCUUUCUGUGUCCUCCUCUGGCUAAAGUUCAUGUUCAGAACUGAUAAAGAUUUGAUAUGCAGUUACCUGGCAAAAGAAUCACUUUUCCUACAUUAUGAAACUCUCUGGAGAUGGCUUCCAGAUUGUAAGUUAUGUAAGCACAUUGCUUCAUAGUCUUUUUGUCUAAGAUGACCUGUCUACAGAGGGAUAAUUGUUUACUUCACAAAUCUUAUCUCACCUAAAGUGACUGUAAGCACUCUGAUAAUUAUGUACUUCCACAGUCACAGUUGAAAGAGCAUAUAUGGUCUUAGAAACUGAACAAUUUUGUGUGCUGGCUAUAUAACUUCUGCUGAGUAAUGAAAACGCUCAGAGCCCUAAUGAAAAGGUUUCCUAUUUAUGAAAUAGUAAUAAUAAUAAUACAUAUAUCACAAGGCUGUUGUGAUAAUUAAGCAGUGUUUUUGUAAAAGGUGUGGUAUAUAGUAAACACUUGAUAAGUGCUUAAUGGCUGUCAUAUUUCUUAUUUCAGUUUUCCAUCUAUACCUUGUUUUAAGCAAAUAACAUUUACAAAUCAGAUUUAUAAGGAAAAUUGUUUAAUCAGUGUAAUCUUAUAUGAAAUUAAUAUUGCAAAAAAGGAAUGUUUUCUCUUUACAAAAGCAUCUACAAGAAUUAUACGAAAAACUUCCAUGAUAUACUGAAACAUAUAGGUCCAUUUAAAGUUUUUGAUUUAUAAACAAAUCAUCAUGAAUACAAUUUACAAGUAAAGUAAAAAGUUAGAACUCAGCAAUUGAGUUUCUUCAGCUUGGAUUAGUGGUGUGACAGUAUUGCCUCUGCUAUGCAGACAUAGUUUUCCUUUGCAUUUUCCCAGGCUUUCUCACAGACACAGCCACCUUAUCUGUACCCACACAGAAAUGCUUUGUUAUGUGGCAACCUGCAAUUCCCCAGAGCAGGUAAGGCCAAGCUCCCUUAGAACUGCCCAUUUGACAAGCCAAUGAUAUUAAAGAUGGCUCUCGCCAUGGGUCCCCACUCCACAUUUUGCACAUUCCUCUACCAUAACACCCACAUACGUUUUAACCCUUGUUUAUAUAAUUAUUUUAAUUAUUUUUAAUCCUUGUUUAUAUGAUUAUUUCCUGAUAAAUGUCUGUUGAAUUAAUUUAUGAAGUAUCAUAUGAAAUAAUUUUUGUGGUUAUAGAUGAGGAUAGCAAUGAGAAGUGUUUUUCAAACAAAGUUGCUGAGUAAGAGUCAUUUAACAGAAUUGUAGCACUAAGCUUCUAAUUAAAAUAAAACAAUUUAAAACAU
rnacentral:antisense_RNA from 1 species